GGGGUUGCGCCAACUUCCUUCCGAGCAGGCCCCCGGCCUGUCACGUCGGAGGUCGCGGGUUCGAGCCCCGUCGUCCCCGCCA
rnacentral:tRNA from 1 species